rnacentral:rRNA from 1 species
CCUACGGGUGGCAGCAGUGGGGAAUAUUGCACAAUGGGGGAAACCCUGAUGCAGCAACGCCGCGUGGGUGAAGGAGCGUUUCGGCGCGUAAAGCCCUGUCAGCGGGGAAGAAGAAAGACGGUACCCGACCAAGAAGCCCCGGCGAACUAAGUGCCAGCAGCCGCGUUAAUAGGGAGGGGGCGAGCGUUAUCCGGAAGUCCUGGGGGUAAAGGGAGCGUAAACGGCGAGGUAAGGCUGAAGUGGAAGCCCGGGGCCCAAACGGGGGACUGCUGUUGAAACGGUUUUGCUGGAGUAUGGGAGAGGUAAGCGGAAUGCGUGGUGUAGCGGUGAAAUGCGUAGAUAUCAGGAGGAACACCGGUGGCGAAGGCGGCUUACUGGACCAUAACUGACGUUGAGGCUCGAAAGCGUGGGGAGCGAACAGGAUUAGAUACCCCGGUAGUC